rnacentral:rRNA from 1 species
CCUACGGGAGGCAGCAGUGGGGAAUAUUGGACAAUGGGGGGAACCCUGAUCCAGCGACGCCGCGGGAGUGAAGAAGUAUUUCGGUAUGUAAAGCUCUAUCAGCAGGGAAGAAAGAAAUGACGGUACCUGACUAAGAAGCCCCGGCUAACUACGUGCCAGCAGCCGCGGUAAUACGUAGGGGGCAAGCGUUAUCCAGAUUUACGGGGUGUAAAGGGGGCGUAGACGGCGAUGCAAGUCUGAAGUGAAAGGCGGGGGCCCAACCCCUGGACUGCUUUGGAAACUGUAUGGCUGGAGUGCAGGAGAGGUAAGUGGAAUUCCUAGUGUAGCGGUGAAAUGCGUAGAUAUUAGGAGGAACACCAGUGGCGAAGGCGGCUUACUGGACUGUAACUGACGUUGAGGCUCGAAAGCGUGGGGAGCAAACAGGAUUAGAUACCCCAGUAGUC